CUUGACAUCCCGAUCGUACUUUCUGGAAACAGUUAGGUCAGUUCGGCUGGAUCGGUGACAGGUGCUGCAUGGCUGUCGUCAGCUCGUGUCGUGAGAUGUUGGGUUAAGUCCCGCAACGAGCGCAACCCUUGUCCUUAGUUGCCAGCAUUAAGUUGGGCACUCUAAGGAGACUGCCGGUGUUAAACCGGAGGAAGGUGGGGAUGACGUCAAGUCCUCAUGGCCCUUAUGUUCAGGGCUACACACGUGCUACAAUGGCCGGUACAAAGGGCUGCAAUACCGCAAGGUGGAGCGAACCCCAAAAAAGCCGGUCUCAGUUCGGAUUGGGGUCUGCAACUCGACCCCAUGAAGUCGGAGUCGCUAGUAAUCGCAGAUCAGCAACGCUGCGGUGAAUACGUUCCCGGGCCUU
rnacentral:rRNA from 1 species